CACACAACUUUCAACAACGGAUCUCUUGGUUCUGCGCAUCGAUGAAGAACGCAGCGAAAUGCGAUAAGUAGUGUGAAUUCGCAGAAUUCAGUGAAUCAUCGAAUCUUUGAACGCACAUUGCCGCCUUCGGUAUUCCGUUGGGCAUGCCUGUUCGAGCGUCA
rnacentral:rRNA from 1 species